UGCAUGUCUCAGUACAAGCCAAAUUAAGGUGAAACCGCGAAAGGCUCAUUAAAUCAGUUAUGGUUCCUUAGAUCGUACCCACAUUUACUUGGAUAACUGUGGUAAUUCUAGAGCUAAUACAUGCAAACAGAGCUCCGACCGGAGACGGAAGGAGCGCUUUUAUUAGAUCAAAACCAAUCGGUGGCGGUUUCCGUCAUCGUACAACUUGGUGACUCUGAAUAACUUUACGCUGAUCGCACGGUCUUGCACCGGCGACGCAUCUUUCAAAUGUCUGCCUUAUCAACUGUCGAUGGUAGGUUCUGCGCCUACCAUGGUUGUAACGGGUAACGGGGAAUCAGGGUUCGAUUCCGGAGAGGGAGCCUGAGAAACGGCUACCACAUCCAAGGAAGGCAGCAGGCGCGCAAAUUACCCACUCCCGGCACGGGGAGGUAGUGACGAAAAAUAACGAUACGGGACUCAUCCGAGGCCCCGUAAUCGGAAUGAGUACACUCUAAACCCUUUAACGAGGAUCAAUUGGAGGGCAAGUCUGGUGCCAGCAGCUGCGGUAAUUCCAGCUCCAAUAGCGUAUAUUAAAGUUGUUGCGGUUAAAAAGCUCGUAGUCGAAUCUGUGUCCCGCGCCGCCGGUUCAUCGUUCGCGGUGUUAACUGGCGUGCCGCGGGACGUCCUGCCGGUGGGCUUAGCUCGCAAGGGCGGCCCAACUCAAUCCCGCCGCGGUGCUCUUCAUUGAGUGUCGAGGUGGGCCGGCACGUUUACUUUGAACAAAUUAGAGUGCUUAAAGCAGGCUAAAACUUUGCCUGAAUACUGUGUGCAUGGAAUAAUGGAAUAGGACCUCGGUUCUAUUUUGUUGGUUUUCGGAACCCCGAGGUAAUGAUUAAUAGGAACGGAUGGGGGCAUUCGUAUUGCGACGUUUGAGGUGAAAUUCUUGGGAUCGGCGCA
rnacentral:rRNA from 1 species